CUCUGAGAAAUUCUCCUCCCGGAGAAUAUUCCACAAAUCAACAGCCCAGCUCUAUAACCUGAAACUCAAGGAGCAAGGUGUUGAGGAGGAAGAACUGGAGCCCAGACUACGGCAGGGCGGGAGGAACACUCCAUACUGGUACUUCCUUCAGUGCAAACGUCUGCUCAAGGAAGGAAAGGUCUGAGAUGUAAUGGGACUUACCUUGUGUCCCCGGCCCUUUAAGAACUGCUUGACUCUGCG
rnacentral:lncRNA from 1 species